CAGCAGUAAUAUGACCAUUAUGAAUUAUGAAUGAAGAGCAAUCAAAUUAAGAAGUCAGGCAGUCUGCCGGUUUGGCUUUGGUAGCCGGGAUUCACACCAGACAACCUACUGCAUUAAGACACUUACGUUUGAGUUGCUGUUUAACCCAAGAGACUGAAUGCAAAGUUUGUUUUCGGUCAAUUUUUAAUUAUGAACGAAGUAAUAACAAUUUAAACUGUACCAAAGUCAAUGACUCCAUGGCAAUACAGUAUCAUAGUAUACCGUCAGUCAAAAGUUUGCAUUGUCCAGAAGUUUAUUGGCAAAAUUGUGAAAUGUGUAAAUAUCAAUAUGUAAAAUCUUGAACUAAGUUUGAAUAUCGAGUGUGAAUAAAAUUGUUACAUCAGUCACAGAUAAUUAUGUUAAUUGAAAGAAGGACAUUACUUAAAUCCUUCCCAAUAGCUGUACGUACAUGAUGCAUUACAAUUUUGUGAUUUGGUUCUGUCCUUAGCGUACAGAUGUAAUAACGCACCCCCUGCAGAAAUUUUGAUGUUACAUGUAUAUACUACCCGGGUCCCUCCCGAUCCUCCUCUAGAUCUGCACAUGCGUGGUAUUGACUUUGGAACUUGUCAUGGAUUUCUCAUUGACUGAGAUAAACAGCGACCACGUAGGCAACAAUUCAAAAAUGUACUGUUUUUUUUUGAGUUUUCUGAAUUUAUUUUGUAUGUUAUGUUCAAUGGUCACUAUAUACAUUGUUCACAUCUAUAAACAGUAUCAUAAAAUGCAAAGAAAUGAUAGAUUAUUUCAUGUAAUAGCGUAGAAGGAUAAUAUGAAAAUAUAUGGAUACAUUGGAACAAAAAAAUACAUUUUGCAACACGUGUAGACGAGCCCAUUUUUCUACUAGGGACACCAAAAAACUCCUACACUACAUCAGUAACAACAAAAUCCUCUUAUCGAAGACUUUAAUGCUGACGCGU